UGGGGAAUAUUGCACAAUGGGCGCAAGCCUGAUGCAGCCAUGCCGCGUGAAUGAAGAAGGCCUUCGGGUUGUAAAGUACUUUCAGUCGGGAGGAAGGUGGUAAGGUUAAUAACCUUAUCAAUUGACGUUACCGACAGAAGAAGCACCGGCUAACUCCGUGCCAGCAGCCGCGGUAAUACGGAGGGUGCAAGCGUUAAUCGGAAUUACUGGGCGUAAAGCGCACGCAGGCGGCUGAUUGAGUCAGAUGUGAAAUCCCCGGGCUUAACCCGGGAAUUGCAUCUGAUACUGGUCAGCUAGAGUCUUGUAGAGGGGGGUAGAAUUCCAUGUGUAGCUGUGAAAUGCGUAGAGAGGUGGAGGAAUACCGGUGGCGAAGGCGGCCCCCUGGAAAAAGACUGACGCUCAGGUGCGAAAGCGGGGGGAGCAAACAGG
rnacentral:rRNA from 1 species